CGCAGCGUAGCUCAAUGGAUGGAGCACUUGCUUUCUACGACCAGCGUCCCGGCGCUAUCGGGCAAGAGGAUAUGGGUUCGAGUCCCCUCGCUGCGA
rnacentral:tRNA from 1 species